GAAGAAGAAGGAGAAGAAACCGGAAACGGAAGUGAGCUGCGAUGAAAACAAAACGACGCUCACAAAUCACCCAUCAAAUUGUAGCAACUGAAACUAAAUUUCGCCUAAUUUUAGACUCAUUUUACAAUUUUAUAAGGUUAAAUAUAAAUGUAUUAUAUACGAUAUUAGCUUAGCUUCGCGCAAAGCCAAACCAGCGUCGCUUCCUGCAGACGACGUAUCUUGAGUUAAGCUACAAUUCUUCUUUUUUUUUUAAACGACAAAACAAACAAUGUCGGACGAUUAUGAAUUCAGCGAAGACGCGAGCAUGAUGCGAAUGGACGAGGACGGGGAGGCGACCAGCGACGACCCGAUGUCCGCGGUCGGGGACUGUGGCCCGAUGGGGGGCGAGGCCGAGGGGUCGAAGAUAGACGCCAGUAAGAACGAGGAGGACGAGGGGAAGAUGUUUGUUGGAGGGCUCAGCUGGGACACGACGAAGAAGGACCUGAAAGAUUACUUUUCCAAGUAUGGAGAGGUUGUGGACUGCACCCUCAAGCUGGACCCCAUGACCGGUCGGUCGCGGGGCUUCGGCUUUGUGCUCUUCAAAGAACCGGACAGCGUUGACAAGGUUGUCACACAUAAGGAACAUAAACUCAAUGGAAAGGUCAUUGACCCCAAAAAAGCCAAGGCCAUGAAGAGCAAGGAGCCCGUGAAGAAGAUCUUUGUUGGCGGCCUCUCUCCGGACACCCCUGAGGAGAAAGUCCGAGAGUACUUCGGUACCUUCGGAGAGUUAGAGUCCGUUGAACUUCCCAUGGAGAACAAAACUAACAAAAGGAGAGGCUUCUGCUUCAUCACGUUCAAAGAGGAGGAACCAGUCAAGGGGAUCAUGGAGAAGAAGUACCACAACAUUGGACUUAGCAAGUGUGAAAUAAAAGUGGCGAUGUCCAAGGAGCAGUACCAGCAGCAGCAGUACUGGGGAGGCGGAUACUCCUCCAGGUCUCGAGGACGAGGCGGCGGUCCCAAUCAAAAUUGGAACCAGGGUUACGGCAACUACUGGAAUCAAGACUACGGCAAUUAUGGAAAUUACGGCAAUUAUGGCAAUUACGGUUACGGUAAUCAAGGAUACGGCGGCUACGGCGGCUACGACUACCCCGGUUACAACAACUACUACGGAUACGGUGACUUCAACAAUCAAUCGGGCGGAUACGGCAAGUCGCCGCGGCGCGGCGGCCACGCCAACAGUUACAAGCCGUAUUGACGGAGGGAGACUCAUCUUCAAGUAGCGGAGCUUCCUUGCAGGCCAUGAGCUGACUCCCCAGAUACUCUCAGGGCCCGCUCAAUGCGGACCGGGUACGAGAAGCAUACGCUCUCGAAUGCUGCCAUUUGGCGUCCGAGUGAGGAAAGGUGGGCUGGAGGAGCGAUGGCCAGAGAGAUGAUGGUGGUCACCAGCAAAGAUCUCUGAGCUGAUUGUAAGAACAUAAUGAAGAGCACUAUGACCUACAGUACAGCUCCUCUACACUCACCGGAGCAUUUGUGUUGUAUCUUUAAAAAAAAAAAACUAAAAAUAACUGUGUGUUUUGGGGUUUAUUUAGAUUGCUGCAAAUAUUUAGUGGUUUGCGUUCCUCAUCCCGUCUUGUUUUUUUUUGUAUUUAAUAUUCUCCAGAUUUGUGAAUUUGCUUGAUUUUAUUACACAAUUGAAAUGUUAGAUCGGUUGGAACAGAUCACACACAUAUAUAUAUAUAUAUAUAUAUAUAUAUAUGUAUAUAUAUAUACAUAUAUAUAUUUAGUGCUAGAAAAGAAUGCAUACAAAAGCAUUGUUACAAUGUAUCCUCUUUAGUAGUCAUCAGUCAUAUAAUACACAUAAUUACAGAGUUUGACAGUCAAACAUACAGUGUAUAUACAUACACACACACACACACACAAAGAUAAUUUGACAGAAAUGAGAUAAAAUAAUAAUAAAAAAUUUGGAUUUGUGAUCCUUUGUGAAA